ensembl:lncRNA
AUGCUGCUCCAGCCAGCGAGUGAAUCCCCCGCCGCCCCGCCCUCUCCUCCCUGUGCCGCAAGCAGCAGGCGCACCUCACUAACGGAGGGCGCCCUUACUCCCAGCAAAUGUAGGCGGGGCCAGGUACGUACGUUCUUUUAGAGCAGAGCUACAGAUUAAAAAUGCCCAAGGCGAAGCGGUCAAAAGUCUGGCUGUACUUCACAGCAAAAUAUGCAAACUCAGCAGCCUGCAACAAGUGCUUUAAGCUGAUACUGUGAUACUGUCAAAGGAGGUAACACCUCAAAUCCGAUGAAACACCUGGCGACGCAUAGCGGGUUUUUUUUAAAGCCAAGAAAUGUGCCGUGUUUGAUAGCUUGCUGUGAGACCUCACACCGUGCACAUCUACUGCGGGUGUGGUGCCUGUUAUCGGACCUGGAGUUAGUAACAUCCCCCAAAAACCCGAAGAGUAGAGUCCUGGCCCCUAGCCCUGACAGCAUAGCAGAAAUGAUGACGGAUGAUGAUGGCAGCAGCAGCCGUUCUCCUCUGCCAGUUGGAGCCCAUCAGGGAUUGAACCCAGAACCUUUUGCACCCAAGCCAAGAAACAGAC